GGAUGUUGUUCUGGAAUUUGCCUUGUUUUCCCAUUCAUUUUCAUCUGCUUCACUGGUUGGCUCUUCAUCUGGUGGCGAGCACAACGUUUGGUCAUAGUCACCAGUGAUCAAGCCUACAAAGAAUGUGCAUGCCAUGCGCGCAGAUAUAUUUCAGAUGGAAAAUUGAAUAUUAUUGGUGUUAAAGAGGUCAAAAGAAAGAAGAUUCCAGCAGUUUUCAAAAAUAUCGGAAAAAACCACAAAAAAUGAUGGAAAAACGGACAUUUUUACGCAAAAUCAGUUUUCGACAAAAUUGAUUUUUUAUAAAGCUGCAACUCAAAAAAAAAAAUCACUGUAAAGUAAGGUGAUUGACCCUUAAGCUGGAGUCUACUGUACAGUACAUAAUAACUAAAACCAGUUUUCAGUUACUGACAAGGAUGAGUGAAGUAUGCUGCUGGAUAAAUACAGCCGGUCUACUUGAAUUACCAAUCAAAUGAAUAAUACACUCUGGGCCCGAAGACAUUGAAUAAAUCGAUUCUUAUUAUUCUUACGAUUCAUUUUUUGAAUAGGAAAGCGUUAAAAAUAAAAUAAAAGGAACAACAAUAAUUAUUAUACUAUUAUAGAAUUAUAUAAGAUCAAUUAAUAAUAAGACAAAAAGAAUAUUAUGUAUUUAUAUGUAUUAAUUAUAAAAACAAAUUAUAUA